UUUCUCCUCCCUCUCUCUCUCUGUCUCUCUCUCUCCUCCCCCUCUGUGUAUAAGAGACCUCUCCCCCUCCAACAGUCAGCUCAGUUUCUGGGAAAAACCAAGCGACAGAGAGACACGGAAGAAAAGAGGGAACGCAGCAGUAACUGCCUAGCUUCUCUCAUUUAUUCAUUCAUUCAUUCACACUCUCAGCACAGCCUCUCUCCAUCUCUCCACCUCUCCACUCCUUCCCCCCUUUCCCCUCCUUCCUUACAUCCAUUUCCCUCUGUCAUCCCUCUUUCUCCUCCUUCUUCCCCCCCUUUUUCUCUUUUUUUUCAUCCCUUCAUCUGCUCCGGUUGUUUGUCUUGGCUAAGUACUUGGCUGAGUACUUGUCAGAUGGGGUGUGGAAAUUCCACAGCGACCAGCACAGGAGGAGGCCCUGCAGAGGGAUCCAAGGAUGCGACAGAGGAGUCGUCACCUGUCGAAGAAAAAAGGAAGCAC